rnacentral:rRNA from 1 species
UUUUAUGAGAGUUUGAUCCUGGCUCAGGACGAACGCUGGCGGCGUGCCUAAUACAUGCAAGUCGAACGCUUCUUUUUCCACCGGAGCUUGCUCCACCGGAAAAAGAGGAGUGGCGAACGGGUGAGUAACACGUGGGUAACCUGCCCAUCAGAAGGGGAUAACACUUGGAAACAGGUGCUAAUACCGUAUAACAAUCGAAACCGCAUGGUUUUGAUUUGAAAGGCGCUUUC